AAUGAAUUAAUUAUUAAUAUUAUUUUUUUUUGUUAGAUAAAUUAAUAUAAAUAAAUUUAUUGAUUUUUAUUUUUUGUAUAUUUUAUAGAUAAAAUAAUUUUUAUUAUAGUUGAUUAGUAUUGAGAAAGAAAUUUGAAAAAUUAAAUAAUUUAUAGAAAAGUAGAAUUUAUUUUUUGUACCUUUUGUAUCAGGGUUUAUUAAUAAAAAUUUAAUGAUAUUAAUUAUCUCGAAUUUAAGAGAGCUAAUGAAUUAUGAUAGUUUUUGUUUCAUAAAAAUUAUUAAUUAUUUAUUAGAAAUGAAAUGUUAUUCGUUCUUAAAUAUAUCUAGUUUUUUAAGAAAUAAAUUUAAUUUAUAUAUUAAUUAAAUAAUUUUUUUUUUAAAAAAAAAUAAUUAAUUAUUAAUUAAUAUAAAUGUAUUAAGGGAUAAGCUUUAAUAUAAAAUUUAUAAUUUUUUUAUAUUAUAAUUAAUUGUAGAUUUAGAAAUAGUUAACAAUAGAGAUUUUGUAUUAAUUUAUAAAAUAGAUAAUAAUAUUUAUAUAAAAAUUUAAUUUAAAUAUUAAAAUAUAAAUUUUAAUUAAAAAAAUUUAGUAAUAAUGAUAAAAUUAGUAUAUUUAAUUUGUUUGAAUGUGGAUAGAUUAAGAGAUUAAUUUAAGGAAUUCGGCAAAAUAAUAUUCACCUGUUUAACAAAAACAUGUCUUUUAGAUAAUAAUUUAAAGUCUGGCCUGCCCACUGAAUAUUUUGAAGGGCCGCGGUAUAUUGACUGUGCAAAGGUAGCAUAAUCAUUAGUCUUUUAAUUGAAGGCUUGUAUGAAUGGUUGGAUGAGAUAUUAACUGUCUCAAUUUAAUAAUAUAGAAAUUAAUUUUUAAGUUAAAAAGCUUAAAUAAUAUUAGAGGACGAGAAGACCCUAUAGAUCUUUAUAAUUUAUAAAUUAAUAAAUAUUUUUGAAAAUAGAAUUAUUAAUUUUAUAAAUUAUUUUGUUGGGGUGACAAAUAAAUUUAAUUAACUUUAUUUAAUAUAAACAUUUAUUUAUGAAUAAUUGAUCCAUUUUUAGUGAUUAUAAGAUUAAGUUACCUUAGGGAUAACAGCGUAAUUUUUUUAGAGAGUUCAUAUUGAUAAAAAAGUUUGCGACCUCGAUGUUGAAUUAAAGAUUAAUUUAGGUGUAGAAGUUUAAAUUUUUGGUCUGUUCGACCAUUGAAUCUUUACAUGAUUUGAGUUCAAACCGGCGUGAGCCAGGUUGGUUUCUAUCCUUUAUAAAUUAAGAUAUUUUAGUACGAAAGGACCAAAUAUUUGAAAAAUUUUUUUUAGUUUGAAUAGUAUUAAUU
rnacentral:rRNA from 1 species